UGCUCGAUGGCUGAGUUUAUAAGCGGUAGACUGUAGAUCUACAUACGGAAGAAAAUUUUCUCGGGCAA
rnacentral:tRNA from 1 species